rnacentral:snoRNA from 1 species
GGGAUGUGCUCAGAGCAGGUGGCCUGAAGAAUGGCUUCUCUGUUUACAACACACCCAACAGGAAUUGAGGGUCAUUGUGACAAGGGGCACAACACGUGUGACUUCCCUCUGAGCAACUGCCCUCUAUAC